rfam:Perkinsus marinus ATCC 50983 gcontig_1104296287462, whole genome shotgun sequence.
GCAUUUACUACUGUAACGGUUAGCACUCCAGACUCUGAAUCUGGCGAUCUGGGUUCAAAUCCCGGUAAAACCU